GACGAACGCUGGCGGCGUGCUUAACACAUGCAAGUCGAGCGGUAAGGCCCUUUCGGGGGUACACGAGCGGCGAACGGGUGAGUAACACGUGGGUGACCUGCCCUCAGCUCUGGGAUAAGCCUGGGAAACCGGGUCUAAUACUGGAUAUGACUCCAUGACGCAUGUUGUGGGGUGGAAAGCCUUGUGCGGCUGAGGAUGGGCCCGCGGCCUAUCAGCUUGUUGGUGGGGUGAUGGCCUACCAAGGCGACGACGGGUAGCCGGCCUGAGAGGGCGACCGGCCACACUGGGACUGAGACACGGCCCAGACUCCUACGGGAGGCAGCAGUGGGGAAUCUUGCGCAAUGGGCGAAAGCCUGACGCAGCGACGCCGCGUGAGGGAUGACGGCCUGCGGGUUGUAAAGCACUUUCAGUAGGGAAGAAAAGCCGAGUGCUAAUAUCACUCGGUCUUGACGUUACUUACAGAAGAAGCACCGGCUAACUCCGUGCCA
rnacentral:rRNA from 1 species